rnacentral:rRNA from 1 species
AUUGAACGCUGGCGGCAGGCCUAACACACGCAAGUCGGACGGUAGCACAGAGAGCUUGCUCUCGGGUGACGAGUGGCGGACGGGUGAGUAAUGUCUGGGGAUCUGCCCGAUAGAGGGGGAUAACCACUGGAAACGGUGGCUAAUACCGCAUAACGUCGCAAGACCAAAGAGGGGGACCUUCGGGCCUCUCACUAUCGGAUGAACCCAGAUGGGAUUAGCUAGUAGGCGGGGUAACGGCCCACCUAGGCGACGAUCCCUAGCUGGUCUGAGAGGAUGACCGGCCACACUGGAACUGAGACACGGUCCAGACUCCUACGGGAGGCAGCAGUGGGGAAUAUUGCACAAUGGGCGCAAGCCUGAUGCAGCCAUGCCGCGUGUAUGAAGAAGGCCUUCGGGUUGUAAAGUACUUUCAGCGGGGAGGAAGGCGAUAAGGUUAAUAACCUUGUCGAUUGACGUUACCCGCAGAAGAAGCACCGGCUAACUCCGUGCCAGCAGCCGCGGUAA